rnacentral:rRNA from 1 species
UGAGGAAUAUUGGUCAAUGGGUGCAAGCCUGAACCAGCCAUCCCGCGUGAAGGACGACUGCCCUAUGGGUUGUAAACUUCUUUUGUAUAGGGAUAAACCUACCCUCGUGAGGGUAGCUGAAGGUACUAUACGAAUAAGCACCGGCUAACUCCGUGCCAGCAGCCGCGGUAAUACGGCGGGUGCACGCGUUAUCCGGAUUUAUUGGGUUUAAAAGGGUCCGUAGGCGGACUUAUAAGUCAGUGGUGAAAGCCUGUCGCUUAACGAUAGAACUGCCAUGGAUACUGUAAG